AAAAGUAACCACAAAUGAAGGAUUUAAGAUUCCACUCAGAGCAGCACAUCCAACUGCCCGAAUUUCUAAGAGAGAAAAUAUAAGACUUUCAUGUUCUGACCCUAGGUGAGGAAUCAUAAACUUCAAUUUAAAAAUAUAUUUUAAAAGAUGAACAAUUCUCAUAAAUGAAAAAAAAUGAACAUUAAAAAAGAAUAACUGUGGCAUUUCUAUACAUGAUGAUAUUGUUUGAAGAAAUUAAUGGGAAGACUGGCAGAAAGGGUACCUAGCAUUCAGGGAUGGGUUGAAGACUUUACAUGUGAAUUGCAUAUGUCUCUGGUUUUAUGUUUUGUAGAGUACAGGAAAUUCAAAUGCUCCAACGAUUCCCUUUGGCUCUAUUCAGUUGUCAUCAUGUAUGCGAGAAUAUCCAAGAAAGCGGCUCCCAGAACUUGUGGGACUCCAAACCUUGACAGAAUCAUGCGUGGGCACAGUCUUUCGUCAGGAUCACUACAACAGCUAGAAAAGGAGAAGGCGACCCACUGCAGACACGAGACAGGAGGCACCUUACACAAGGCAAGCAAACAGGCCCCUGCGAGAGGCUGGAUGUCCUGCCUCCUGGUAAGCAAAAAGGCACACACUGAAUGUGCGGUCCCCCCACCCCAAGACAAACAAGGAGGCUGCCCAAGACCUGUGGUGCACUGCUAAUGGGACACAUAGCGCCACCCACCCCCGCAAAUAAGGGUGCCAUGGUUAAUCAACUCCAAGCUGACUUUACAUUUCAAUUCCCCUUUAGCAAAGGGCUGCAGAGGCAAAGACUAACAAACCAACCUAUUUAUGGAUGAGGAAAAUGCCUUGGAAGAGAAGACAGUAACCAAACCCUGCAACUGCUGACAUUAAGUCCAAAAGUCCGCUGGAACCACUGCCCCAGAGUGCUGAUCAUUUUCCCAGCUGCCAACACGAGCAAGGACACACCUUAGUUUGCACGGCAAGCAUACUCUGGGGUGGCCAGACCCUGGGGCGUGUGGUACAGGGAUGGUACUUCAAAAACCCAGAGACCAUAAAGCUAAGAGAAGAAAAUAGUGACUGGUGGGGUCCCAAGACUGUCGGUCUUAGAAAGAAUCCAUUUAUCAAAAGCACAGCAAUUUUACCUUUGACUCAAUCUUUUAUUUCAAGACAAAUUCCAAAGGCUUGCUGCACACAGAAAAUGGAUCAAAAUAACACAUGAACGAGUUUUAAGAAAAAAUUUCCUAUACAUUGACAUUAGUAUGUAUUCAACUGAUAAAAAAUAUAAAAUCUCUAUCGAUUUCUCUUAAUGAAGCUUUAAUAGUAACAAACUCCCCCCAAAAUAAAAGAAGCAGUCAAUAAAUGGGCAAAUGAAAAGCACACUUCACAGAAGUACAAACGGCCAGUAAAUGCAUGAAGAAAUUUUCAACAUCACUAGAGGUUACAGAAAUGCAAAUUAAAAUAGCACUGAGAUUCCAUCUUACCCCUGAAACAAUGCCCGUCAUUAAGAAAUCAAAUAAUAACAAAUGCUGAUGAGGGUGCAGGGAAAGAUGAUUUCUUCCACAUUAUGGUAGGAAUGUAAACUAUUACAACCACUAUGGUAAGCAGUAUGGAGAAUCCUCAACAGCUUAAAACGAGAAAUCCCAUUUGAACCAGCUCUUCCGUUUCGAGAGAUCCCCCCAAAGCACUAAAGGCAUCACACUGCAGUGAUCCACGCAUAGCCAUUUCCACAGCAGCACAGUUCAUAACAGGUAAAUCUCGGAAGCAGCGUAUACGUCCAUUACAGACGAGUGGAUAAGGAAAAUGAUGUAUUUACAUAGAACAGGGUACUCUUCCGCCAUAAAGAAAGAUAAACCUGAGUCAUUUGGAGGAAAAUGGAUGCCCCCUGAAUCAUAACGUUAAGUGAAAUAAAUCAGACACACAAAGUUAAACAGUGCAUGGUUCUCAUUAUAAGAGAAACCCAAAUCAUAAGGCGCAAGAUAAAAGACGUAUCAUAGGAAGCAGGGAGACGGAGCUUUCUCAAAUGCAGAGAACAACAGACGGAGGGAAGCGGGAGGGGAAUGGAGGUGAAAAAGGGAAUUAAGAUGUGUUAGUACCAAGUCCACACAAGAAACGUAAACUCCACACGUACCACAAACAUACACUAAUACAAAAGUUUAAAAGAACUAGAACAUGUUCAACCAGGUUUAAUGUGCAACAAAUAGAGUUUUUGCCAAUUCUCUUUAUUUAUUUCUAAAUUUACUUUGGACUUCACCAAUAUUAUGUAGCUAACUUAUUAGUCAAUGUCCUUUGUGACCGUCUGAUCAUUUUUCUCUGAGGGUGCAUAGUUGUUCAAAAUAGUACAGUUUUGUGAUCUUCUGAACUUUUUCUGAUAUUCUACUCUACAUUUUUCUCAAAUUAAUGAAUUCCACUCUUUUUUGACUCUACUAUUUCUAUCUAUUCCCUGUGAAUAGGAAAUUUACUUUCAAAGGAAUUUAUAAUUUUUUAU
ensembl:lincRNA